UACAGAGGAUGCAAGCGUUAUCCGGAAUGAUUGGGCGUAAAGCGUCUGUAGGUGGCUUUUUAAGUCCGCCGUCAAAUCCCAGGGCUCAACUCUGGACAGGCGGUGGAAACUACCAAGCUGGAGUACGGUAGGGGCAGAGGGAAUUUCCGGUGGAGCGGUGAAAUGCGUAGAUAUCUGGAGGAACACCGGUGGCGAAGGCGGCAUCCUGGACCGACACUGACGCUGAGGAGCGAAAGCCAGGGGAGCAAACGGG
rnacentral:rRNA from 1 species